rnacentral:rRNA from 1 species
AAUGAACGCUGGCGGCAGGCCUAACACAUGCAAGUCGAACGAAGCCUUCGGGCUUAGUGGCGGACGGGUGAGUAACGCGUGGGAACAUACCCAAAGGUACGGAAUAGCCUCGGGAAACUGGGAGUAAUACCGUAUGUGCCCUUCGGGGGAAAGAUUUAUCGCCUUUGGAUUGGCCCGCGUUGGAUUAGGUAGUUGGUGGGGUAAUGGCCUACCAAGCCGACGAUCCAUAGCUGGUUUGAGAGGAUGAUCAGCCACACUGGGACUGAGACACGGCCCAGACUCCUACGGGAGGCAGCAGUGGGGAAUCUUAGACAAUGGGCGCAAGCCUGAUCUAGCCAUGCCGCGUGAUCGAUGAAGGCCUUAGGGUUGUAAAGAUCUUUCAGAUGGGAAGAUAAUGACGGUACCAUCAGAAGAAGCCCCGGCUAACUCCGUG